rnacentral:ribozyme from 1 species
GCUCGUCUGGGCGAGGGUAAAGAGUGAUUAGGCCCAGAGCGUCUUGGCCGGAGCUGCCGGCUGGGGGUUCAG